CCAAUAGCGUAUAUUAAAGUUGUUGCAGUUAAAAAGCUCGUAGUUGAAUUUCGGGAUUGACGUGACGGUCAUGCCUUAAGGGGUAUGAACUGUUGCUGUUGAUUUCUCACCUUCUGGAGAAACUUGAUGUCCUUUAUUGGGUGUCUUGCGGAUCCAGGACCUUUACCUUGAAAAAAUUAGAGUGUUUAAAGCAGGCAUUUUUGCUCGAAUACAUUAGCAUGGAAUAAUAGAAUAGGACGGCAUGGUUCUAUUUUGUUGGUUUCUAGGAUCACCGUAAUGAUUAAUAGGGAUAGUUGGGGGCAUUAGUAUUCAAUUGUCAGAGGUGAAAUUCUUGGAUUUAUUGAAGACUAACUACUGCGAAAGCAUUUGCCAAGGAUGUUUUCAUUAAUCAAGAACGAAAGUUAGGGGAUCGAAGACGAUCAGAUACCGUCGUAGUCUUAACCAUAAACUAUGCCGACUAGGAAUCAGACGAUGUUAAUUUUUUAAUGACUCAUUCGGCGCCUUACA
rnacentral:misc_RNA from 1 species